rnacentral:lncRNA from 1 species
AACACACAACGGAAAUCUUCGUCCCGCCCACUCCCUCUCCAUCCCUCAGACUCUUCUGGAGCGGUGUCAUUGGCUGUGCCCUCUGCCUGUCUCCAGGGUCUUCAUGAAUCACCAGUCUCAGAAAAGCAGUCAAGCCCUUCGAAGAGCAGACACCUGCCCACACGCGCUGCCUCCACCUCCCCACCUUGGAGUCACCUUCCACUCCUCCCAUUUGGUUAGCUUCAGUUUGUCAGAACCAGUUGGGAUGCAACAGGAUUUUCAGUUUUGCUGUCUUCCAUGCAUGAAUGGCUAGGAAACCAACAUGGCUUUGCCUGCCAAUGGAGAGAAGUGGAGAAGAAUGCUUCAAGGCAGAGAGCUUGGACUCCACAGAAAUGGCUAAAAGGGACAGACAUAAAAGAAACUCAACUUGAUUCAAGGUUUCUGAGCACUUGGUGCUUGAUUAAGCUUUCCUCUAGGUUCAUUGGCCUCUACGUUCCGUCUGGUCCAGG